rnacentral:rRNA from 1 species
AGAGUUUGAUUAUGGCUCAGAUUGAACGCUGGCGGCUGCGCCUAACACGAUGCNAGUGGAUACGUAYGAGUGGGUAGACUCUGCUCCCUCUGAUUCUGCGGCGGGACCGGAUGAGCUACCACCUCAAA